GUGACUUGGGGAAGCAUUGAACUGACUCAACCUCUCUUUAAAUAGACAACUGGGAACUCAACUGCCAUGUGCAAUCACUGGAUUAAAUAGUUUCAAAUGGCAAACAGUUUAGAGUGUGACAAAUGUACCAGGAGACUGUACCCAUUUGUAUAUGGAAUGGAAGAGAAGUUGGUCCAGGUGAAUUCUCUGAGUUCUGCAAGCUCAGGAGGGCAAGCCUGGGAGUAUGGAAGUCCAGGAAUCCAGGACUUGAGUUCAUACCAGCUUCUACCACUAGUCCAACAUCGAAGCCCCAAGAAUCAGGAAGCAACCUUUGAGCCCCAGACUAAUGGAUAA
rnacentral:lncRNA from 1 species